rnacentral:rRNA from 1 species
GAUGAACGCUGGCGGCGUGCCUAAUACAUGCAAGUCGAGCGAACGGACGAGAAGCUUGCUUCUCUGAUGUUAGCGGCGGACGGGUGAGUAACACGUGGAUAACCUACCUAUAAGACUGGGAUAACUUCGGGAAACCGGAGCUAAUACCGGAUAAUAUUUUGAACCGCAUGGUUCAAAAGUGAAAGACGGUCUUGCUGUCACUUAUAGAUGGAUCCGCGCUGCAUUAGCUAGUUGGUAAGGUAACGGCUUACCAAGGCAACGAUGCAUAGCCGACCUGAGAGGGUGAUCGGCCACACUGGAACUGAGACACGGUCCAGACUCCUACGGGAGGCAGCAGUAGGGAAUCUUCCGCAAUGGGCGAAAGCCUGACGGAGCAACGCCGCGUGAGUGAUGAAGGUCUUCGGAUCGUAAAACUCUGUUAUUAGGGAAGAACAUAUGUGUAAGUAACUGUGCACAUCUUGACGGUACCUAAUCAGAAAGCCACGGCUAACUACGUGCCAGCAGCCGCGGUAAUACGUAGGUGGCAAGCGUUAUCCGGAAUUAUUGGGCGUAAAGCGCGCGUAGGCGGUUUUUUAAGUCUGAUGUGAAAGCCCACGGCUCAACCGUGGAGGGUCAUUGGAAACUGGAAAACUUGAGUGCAGAAGAGGAAAGUGGAAUUCCAUGUGUAGCGGUGAAAUGCGCAGAGAUAUGGAGGAACACCAGUGGCGAAGGCGACUUUCUGGUCUGUAACUGACGCUGAUGUGCGAAAGCGUGGGGAUCAAACAGGAUUAGAUACCCUGGUAGUCCACGCCGUAAACGAUGAGUGCUAAGUGUUAGGGGGUUUCCGCCCCUUAGUGCUGCAGCUAACGCAUUAAGCACUCCGCCUGGGGAGUGCGACCGCAAGGUUGAAACUCAAAGGAAUUGACGGGGACCCGCACAAGCGGUGGAGCAUGUGGUUUAAUUCGAAGCAACGCGAAGAACCUUACCAAAUCUUGACAUCCUUUGACAACUCUAGAGAUAGAGCUUUCCCCUUCGGGGGACAAAGUGACAGGUGGUGCAUGGUUGUCGUCAGCUCGUGUCGUGAGAUGUUGGGUUAAGUCCCGCAACGAGCGCAACCCUUAAGCUUAGUUGCCAUCAUUAAGUUGGGCACUCUAAGUUGACUGCCGGUGACAAACCGGAGGAAGGUGGGGAUGACGUCAAAUCAUCAUGCCCCUUAUGAUUUGGGCUACACACGUGCUACAAUGGACAAUACAAAGGGCAGCGAAACCGCGAGGUCAAGCAAAUCCCAUAAAGUUGUUCUCAGUUCGGAUUGUAGUCUGCAACUCGACUACAUGAAGCUGGAAUCGCUAGUAAUCGUAGAUCAGCAUGCUACGGUGAAUACGUUCCCGGGUCU